AGUGAACGCUGGCGGUAGGCCUAACACAUGCAAGUCGAACGGCAGCACAGUAAGAGCUUGCUCUUACGGGUGGCGAGUGGCGGACGGGUGAGGAAUACAUCGGAAUCUACUUUUUCGUGGGGGAUAACGUAGGGAAACUUACGCUAAUACCGCAUACGACCUACGGGUGAAAGCAGGGGAUCUUCGGACCUUGCGCGAUUGAAUGAGCCGAUGUCGGAUUAGCUAGUUGGCGGGGUAAAGGCCCACCAAGUCGACGAUCCGUAGCUGGUCUGAGAGGAUGAUCAGCCACACUGGAACUGAGACACGGUCCAGACUCCUACGGGAGGCAGCAGUGGGGAAUAUUGGACAAUGGGCGCAAGCCUGAUCCAGCCAUACCGCGUGGGUGAAGAAGGCCUUCGGGUUGUAAAGACCUUUUGUUGGGAAAGAAAAGCAGCAGGUUAAUACCCCGCUGUUCUGACGGUACCCAAAGAAUAAGCACCGGCUAACUUCGUG
rnacentral:rRNA from 1 species